GAUUGGUAAUAGACCCACGGUUGAAGCUCUCACCCCAGUAGAGGUCGAAACGGCCGUUCGGGUAGUCGUCAACCACUUCAUUGGCAAUACGAUUCAACGCAUAACCACCCUUGAAGGUGUGCUGCUGACCGAAGAAGCGAGUGAUGUAGGUGCCAUCGAGAUAGACAUUGUGACGCGUCAGGGUGUCCUUGACGACGGUGAACGGAUUGCUUAUGUUCGUGAAUCCCUGAGCACCCGCAUAAGCGGGGGGCACCGGGGGAUUAGUCUGUUGGGAACUCGCACGCGCCCAGGUGAGAUACGUUCCGGUCGGCAACCCGUAGGUAUUGCCCUUAUCGUUCGUGUACUUGUAACCGUAGCGAGCACUCACGAUGAGCGACGGCGUGAUGGUGUAACUGAAUGACGCCGUGUACGCCUGCGAUGGCGUGUAGCCGCCCUGGAU
rnacentral:misc_RNA from 1 species